GUGAGCGGCAAACGGGUGAGUAACGCGUGGGAAUCUACCCAUUUCUACGGAAUAACACAGAGAAAUUUGUGCUAAUACCGUAUACGUCCUUCGGGAGAAAGAUUUAUCGGAGAUGGAUGAGCCCGCGUUGGAUUAGCUAGUUGGUGAGGUAAUGGCUCACCAAGGCGACGAUCCAUAGCUGGUCUGAGAGGAUGAUCAGCCACACUGGGACUGAGACACGGCCCAGACUCCUACGGGAGGCAGCAGUGGGGAAUAUUGGACAAUGGGGGCAACCCUGAUCCAGCCAUGCCGCGUGAGUGAUGAAGGCCUUAGGGUUGUAAAGCUCUUUCACCGGUGAAGAUAAUGACGGUAACCGGAGAAGAAGCCCCGGCUAACUUCGUGCCAGCAGCCGCGGUAAUACGAAGGGGGCUAGCGUUGUUCGGAUUUACUGGGCGUAAAGCGCAUGUAGGCGGAUAUUUAAGUCAGAGGUGAAAUCCCAGGGCUCAACCUUGGAACUGCCUUUGAUACUGGGUAUCUUGAGUAU
rnacentral:rRNA from 1 species